ACGCUCGAUUCUGUGAUUUUAUGGGAGGGACUUAUUUUGUUAAAGGUAUAUAAAGAAAGGUUGGUCAUAUGUUUGAUACAGAGGAAACUCAUUGGAAUAACAAAUUAGCGUAUAAAUUGUAUAUUCUCCUACGAGUAUCUGACAGUUGCAGAGAAAUCAAGACCGGUGCAGGAAAAAAUGGAUUCAGUCAAAUUUUUACUUGCAUUCUUCCUGUUUUCUUAUUCAAUGAUUGCUGAUGCGGCACCUUCUUCGAAGUGUGCUGGCAUAACAUGUAUAUUGCCGAAUGACUGUGAAGUGAUUCCAGCUAAAGGACAAUGCUGUCAAAAAUGUAAAAACGUUGCAGGUAAACCAUGCUUCUACGGUAAAGGUCAAGAUGCCAUAAAGGUUGACAAUGGCAAUAAAAUAGAGAUUACAGUUCAUCAAGUCCCAAAAACCUGCGAAUGUACUGACGGUGUUCUGGAUUGUUGGGGGUAACAGUUGUUUUU